rnacentral:rRNA from 1 species
UUAAAAAUGAGAGUUUGAUCCUGGCUCAGGACGAACGCUGGCGGCGUGCCUAAUACAUGCAAGUCGAGCGAGCAA